UACUCGAGUGGCGAACGGGUGAGUAACACGUGGGUGAUCUGCCCUGCACUUUGGGAUAAGCCUGGGAAACUGGGUCUAAUACCGGAUAGGACCACACACUUCAUGGUGAGUGGUGCAAAGCUUUUGCGGUGUGGGAUGAGCCCGCGGCCUAUCAGCUUGUUGGUGGGGUAAUGGCCCACCAAGGCGACGACGGGUAGCCGGCCUGAGAGGGUGACCGGCCACACUGGGACUGAGAUACGGCCCAGACUCCUACGGGAGGCAGCAGUGGGGAAUAUUGCACAAUGGGCGCAAGCCUGAUGCAGCGACGCCGCGUGAGGGAUGACGGCCUUCGGGUUGUAAACCUCUUUCAGUAGGGACGAAGCGAAAGUGACGGUACCUACAGAAGAAGGACCGGCCAACUACGUGCCAGCAGCCGCGGUAAUACGUAGGGUCCGAGCGUUGUCCGGAAUUACUGGGCGUAAAGAGCUCGUAGGUGGUUUGUCGCGUUGUUCGUGAAAACUCACAGCUUAACUGUGGGCGUGCGGGCGAUACGGGCAGACUAGAGUACUGCAGGGGAGACUGGAAUUCCUGGUGUAGCGGUGGAAUGCGCAGAUAUCAGGAGGAACACCGGUGGCGAAGGCGGGUCUCUGGGCAGUAACUGACGCUGAGGAGCGAAAGCGUGGGUAGCGAACAGGAUUAGAUACCCUGGUAGUCCACGCCGUAAACGGUGGGUACUAGGUGUGGGUUUCCUUCCUUGGGAUCCGUGCCGUAGCUAACGCAUUAAGUACCCCGCCUGGGGAGUACGGUCGCAAGACUAAAACUCAAAGGAAUUGACGGGGGCC
rnacentral:rRNA from 1 species